UACGAAGGGGGCUAGCGUUGCUCGGAAUCACUGGGCGUAAAGGGUGCGUAGGCGGGUUCUUAAGUCAGAGGUGAAAUCCUGGAGCUCAACUCCAGAACUGCCUUUGAUACUGAGAGUCUUGAGUAUGACAGAGGUGAGUGGAACUGCGAGUGUAGAGGUGAAAUUCGUAGAUAUUCGCAAGAACACCAGUGGCGAAGGCGGGUCUCUGGGCCGAUACUGACGCUGAGGAGCGAAAGCGUGGGGAGCGAACAGG
rnacentral:rRNA from 1 species